ACCGGGGUCGCCGAAAACCGGGUAAUAGAGUAGGCA
rnacentral:ncRNA from 1 species